rnacentral:tRNA from 1 species
GGGCCACUAGCUCAGUCGGUAGAGCGACGCCCUUUUAAGGCGAAGGUCACAGGUUCGAAUCCUGUGUGGCUCA